UACAGAGGUCCCAAGCGUUGUUCGGAAUCACUGGGCGUAAAGCGCACGUAGGCGGCUUUCUAAGUCAGGGGUGAAAUCCUGGAGCUCAACUCCAGAACUGCCUUUGAUACUGGAGAGCUUGAGUCCGGAAGAGGUGAGUGGAACUCCGAGUGUAGAGGUGAAAUUCGUAGAUAUUCGGAAGAACACCAGUGGCGAAGGCGGCUCACUGGCCCGGUACUGACGCUGAGGUGCGAAAGCGUGGGGAGCAAACAGG
rnacentral:rRNA from 1 species